rnacentral:rRNA from 1 species
UAGGGAAUAUUGGUAAUGUGCGAAAGCGCGAACCAGCAACGCCGCGUGCACGAUGAAGGCCUUCGGGUCGUAAAGUGCUUUUAGAGAGGAUGAGGAAGGACAGUACUUUCUGAAUAAGCCUCGGCUAACUACGUGCCAGCAGCCGCGGUAAAACGUAGGAGGCUAGCGUUAUCCGGAUUUACUGGGCGUAAAGCGCGUGCAGGUGGUCUUGUAAGUUGGAUGUGAAAGCUCCUGGCUUAACUGGGAGAGGUCGUUCAAAACUGCAAGACUUGAGAUUGGUAGAGGGAGGUGGAAUUCCGGGUGUAGUGGUGAAAUGCGUAGAUAUCCGGAGGAACACCAGUGGCGAAAGCGGCCUCCUGGACCAAUUCUGACACUCAGACGCGAAAGCUAAGGUAGCAAACG